rnacentral:rRNA from 1 species
UACGAAGGGGGCUAGCGUUGUUCGGAAUCACUGGGCGUAAAGGGCGCGUAGGCGGCCGCUCAAGUCGGGGGUGAAAGCCUGUGGCUUAACCACAGAAUUGCCUUCGAUACUGUUUGGCUUGAGACCGGAAGAGGUGAGUGGAACUGCGAGUGUAGAGGUGAAAUUCGUAGAUAUUCGCAAGAACACCAGUGGCGAAGGCGGCUCACUGGCCCGGUACUGACGCUGAGGUGCGAAAGCG